ACUACACUUGCACACACUACAUACAUAGCACUCGGCUAAGGAAAAGGAGGAAAGAAAAGAGAGAAAGAAGGAAAGAAAGGGAAGCAAGGAAAUCAGGAGAGAAGGAGAAGGAAAAAUAAAAUAAAAGACCUAGUACGAUACGGUAAAUUACAGAUGCAAAAAAAUCACAGUGAGUUAAGGUGGCUCUUUCAAUGAUGGUGAUUUUUAUUGACGUGGCUAUCAGACAUUAGACAAUGGGAUUCAAAUUGUUCUAUAGUGAUGGUUUUGGCAAUUUGGAACUCGUGCUAUGAGAGAUUUAAUAGUGCCAAGAUUUGGAUCCAUAAUUGUGGUCGCUUAAACGCCAUUGGCGAAGUUUGUAUUCGGUAUGCACGAUAGCCAGCUCUGAAUGUAUUUUAAUAAAUUCACGCUUCUGCUUAUAAA